rnacentral:rRNA from 1 species
GAUGAACGCUGGCGGCGUGCUUAACACAUGCAAGUCGAACGAUGAAGCCCAGCUUGCUUGGUGGAUUAGUGGCGAACGGGUGAGUAACACGUGAGUAACCUGCCCUUGACUCUGGGAUAAGCCUGGUCAACUGGGUCUAAUACUGGAUAUGACUUCUCAUCGCAUGGUGGGGGGUGGAAAGAUUUAUUGGUCUUGGAUGGACUCGCGGCCUAUCAGCUUGUUGGUGAGGUAAUGGCUCACCAAGGCGACGACGGGUAGCCGGCCUGAGAGGGUGACCGGCCACACUGGGACUGAGACACGGCCCAGACUCCUACGGGCGGCAGCAGUGGGGAAUAUUGCACAAUGGGCGCAAGCCUGAUGCAGCGACGCCGCGUGAGGGAUGACGGCCUUCGGGUUGUAAACCUCUUUCAGUAGGGAAGAAGCGAGAGUGACGGUACCUGCAGAAGAAGCGCCGGCUAACUACGUG